GCAAUGGGGAUCGAUUAGCCAUGCGAGUCCAGAGCUUUCGGAGCUCGGCGUACCGCUCAGUAACACGUGGGUAACCUAACCUAUGCAGGGGAAUAACCUCGGGAAACUGAGUAUAAUGCCCCAUAGUCCACUACGCCUGGAACGGUGAGUGGAUCAAAGCUCAGGCGGCAUAGGAUGGGCCUGCGGCGUAUCAGGUUGUAGGGGGUGUAAAGUACCCUCUAGCCAUCUACGCGUACGGGUGUUGGGAGACAUAGCCCGGAGAUGGAUUUUGAGACACGAAUCCAGACCCUACGGGGUGCAGCAGGCGCGAAAACUUGACAAUGCGAGCAAUCGUGAUCAGGGAACUCCAAGUGGCUGGGGUAAGACCCAGUCUUUUCAUAACUCUUCAAAGGUUGUAGAAUAAGGGGUGGGUAAGGACGGUGCCAGCCGCCGCGGUAAUACCGGCGCCUCAAGUGGUAGUCGCUUUUAUUGGGCCUAAAACGUCCGUAGCCGGUUUGGUACAUUCGUGGGUAAAUCAACUCGCUCAACGAGUUGAAUUCUGCGAGGACGGCCAGACUUGGGACCGGGAGAGGUGUGGGGUACUCUCAGGGUAGGGGUAAAAUCCUGUCAUCCUGAGAGGACCACCUGUUGCGAAGGCGCCACACUAGAACGGAUCCGACGGUCAGGGACGAAGCCUAGGGGCACGAACCGGAUUAGAUACCCGGGUAGUCCUAGGUGUAAACGCUGUGGACUUGAUGUUGGAGAAGCUCCGAGCUUCUUCAGUGUCGAAGCGAAAGUGAUAAGUCCACUGCCUGGGAAAGUACGGUCGCAAGGGCUGAAACUCAAAGGAAUUUGACGGAAUCCACUAGUG
rnacentral:rRNA from 1 species